rnacentral:snoRNA from 1 species
ACGACCUUACUUGAACAGGAUCUGUUCUAUAGGCUCGUACCUCUGUAUCCUUGACUUCUAAGGAGACAGGAAACUAAGUCUGGUGGAUGAACCAGGUCUGCUCGACCAGAGCGUGAUUAAUAGACUCACUGGCUCGGCCCAGUUGACUCAGUAGAGGAUCGUUCUCGGCUAGCUUUGGCUGGCCGGGGUGGUCGAGCAGCUGUCUGACAGACU